rnacentral:tRNA from 1 species
UAGCUCAGUUGGUAGAGCCCCUGAUUGUGAUUCAGGUUGUCGCGGGUUCGAGUCCCGU